ensembl:lncRNA
ACUAAGCCCAGUUAAGCAGACAAGUCCUGGGAAACCAAGAAAAAAAACGGCAGUUUUAAAUCAAAACUGCUGAGAAUGUUUCCUCAGCCAAACCUUAUAGAUAGUAAGCCUUGAUCAUCUGAACAAGCAACUUUAAGGUCUUCCAACUGUUAACUAGUUUAAUAAAUAAGACCUUACUAAUCUCUUGCAAGAAAAUAACUGGACAUGAAGAAACUUCCAGCAGGAAACAUGCCUCUUCAAAAUGCAAAUUUCUGAGCCCAGAUGAAAGAAAGCCAGCUCCUUGGAAGCCAUCAGCUACUUUCUGCCCAGUAAGCACCGAGGAGCUAGGGGGAAGUGAGAGACAGCCAUUCCCUCAUGCGCCUUCUAUUAGGGGCGCUGCGUCUGGACAUCUGUUCCCACCCGCCCUUGGACCACCUCGAGAACCAGCGCUUCAUCCAGGAUACUGGGCACCUCCUGUGCCAGGCUCGGGGCCGUGAAGAUGUUUGGUUUUCCCUGAGAUGUUUUCUCCUGAGGCUUUAGAGAGAGCCUUUGCACUCACAGGAACAAAGCAACCGCAUUAGGAGAAAAGGUGCCUGUUAACCUCCUGCCCCGAGACCAGCGUGGGCUGUGGUGCAGCAGGACUGGGGUUCUCAUCACUUUUCCCGUUUUGUGCCUAAAUCACCCCCUCUUCCUCUAUUUCCUUUUCUUCCCUGAUGUGUAGAAUGACUAAGACAUUUGAAACAUAAAUGUGAACUUGAAAUAAUAAAAUAGUUUGAGUUAAAACAAGAAUUAAAUCUUAAAUAUGUAACCCAAAGCUACGGAUGUCCUUGCUAAUCCAACAUGGGGUUCGCUUCUCCUGUUAGAUCAGACAACUGCCGGUUACAGAAUAUAAAUCUCAUUUCCUGCUUCCAGGGUGAUGGUAACUUUGUGACAGCUUGUCUCAGACUGUUUACAUGUUGAAGUAUAACACUGUUUUACCAAUCCCUGUUU